UGCAAGUCGAACGAUGAAGGGAGCUUGCUCCUGGAUUAGUGGCGAACGGGUGAGUAACACGUGAGUAACCUGCCCUUAACUCUGGGAUAAGCCUGGGAAACUGGGUCUAAUACCGGAUAUGACUCCUCAUCGCAUGGUGGGGGGUGGAAAGCUUUAUUGUGGUUUUGGAUGGACUCGCGGCCUAUCAGCUUGUUGGUGAGGUAAUGGCUCACCAAGGCGACGACGGGUAGCCGGCCUGAGAGGGUGACCGGCCACACUGGGACUGAGACACGGCCCAGACUCCUACGGGAGGCAGCAGUGGGGAAUAUUGCACAAUGGGCGAAAGCCUGAUGCAGCGACGCCGCGUGAGGGAUGACGGCCUUCGGGUUGUAAACCUCUUUCAGUAGGGAAGAAGCGAAAGUGACGGUACCUGCAGAAGAAGCGCCGGCUAACUACGUGCCAGCAGCCGCGGUAAUACGUAGGGCGCAAGCGUUAUCCGGAAUUAUUGGGCGUAAAGAGCUCGUAGGCGGUUUGUCGCGUCUGCUGUGAAAGACCGGGGCUCAACUCCGGUUCUGCAGUGGGUACGGGCAGACUAGAGUGAUGUAGGGGAGACUGGAAUUCCUGGUGUAGCGGUGAAAUGCGCAGAUAUCAGGAGGAACACCGAUGGCGAAGGCAGGUCUCUGGGCAUUAACUGACGCUGAGGAGCGAAAGCAUGGGGAGCGAACAGGAUUAGAUACCCUGGUAGUCCAUGCCGUAAACGUUGGGCACUAGGUGUGGGGGACAUUCCACGUUUUCCGCGCCGUAGCUAACGCAUUAAGUGCCCCGCCUGGGGAGUACGGCCGCAAGGCUAAAACUCAAAGGAAUUGACGGGGGCCCGCACAAGCGGCGGAGCAUGCGGAUUAAUUCGAUGCAACGCGAAGAACCUUACCAAGGCUUGACAUGGACCGGACCGGGCUGGAAACAGUCCUUCC
rnacentral:rRNA from 1 species